rnacentral:rRNA from 1 species
GACGGAGGGUGCUAGCGUUGUUCGGAAUUACUGGGCGUAAAGGGCGCGUAGGCGGUCGUUCAAGUCGAGUGUGAAAGCCCCCGGCUCAACUGGGGAGGGUCAUUCGAUACUGAUCGACUUGAAGGCAGGAGAGGGAAGUGGAAUUCCCGGUGUAGUGGUGAAAUGCGUAGAUAUCGGGAAGAACACCCGUGGCGAAGGCGGCUCUCUGGGACGGUACUGACGCUGAGACGCGAAAGCGUGGGGAGCGAACAGG